AUAAUUCAGAAUACCACUGUCUGGCAAUACACCUAAUGCAACCUUAGAGCUGUAGUCUCUACUUACUAUCUAUUAGUUUGGUUCCCAACUAAAGAUAAAGUUGGAGAGAUGCAUGGAGACCAGAUGCUUGCUAGACAAUAUUUCUUGAUAGCUAUCAAAAUGAAGAAGCCAAUGGAAGCUUUGCUGAUUGAAGUACCUAACAA
rnacentral:lncRNA from 1 species